rfam:Kytococcus sedentarius DSM 20547, complete genome.
GGCGAUGACCCGCUGAGUCCCACCAUGUCGUCGCUGGUGUCCGACGAAAGUCGAUGGUGGGAACGGAGCACCCAAUCCCGACGACCUCCAGUCGUCUUGGGGUGAAGCCAGAUGUCCCUCUGGCCGGUUUCACAGGAGCCGAACCCGACAGGUCAUGCUUCGCAAGCGAUCCUGAGAUCCCUC